AAGUCGUAACAAGGUAUCCGUAGGUGAACCUGCGGAUGGAUCAUUAACACUAAAAAACAAAACCUUGCUUUCCUAAAAACAAAGCAUAACCCCAUAACUUUGCGAACUUGUCAACGGGGGAGGGGAGAGGAGGAAGCAAUUUCUCCACCCCUUUUCCGUUCGUUUUUCUCCUUUUUCACCUUAUUAUUAAACCCCAAAACAAAAACAACAAACAAAACUUGACUAAGACAAAAACAAAUGAGAAAACAAAAUAAUACAACUUUUAACGACGGAUAUCUUGGCUCUC
rnacentral:misc_RNA from 1 species